GUACGGUUUACAUGAUGGAAAUGCGAAUGCUCACCUGCUGUUCCAAGGACAUGUAGAACCGUGACAAUAUCAUAUAAAACAUAUGGAAGCAAGUGUCAACACUUUGUAACUUGUCAAGAUUUUUUAUUGGGCAAAAACAUUAUAAAUAAAAACAUGUAGAAAAUGUGAAACAGAGUUAGAAAUUUUGUAUACAAUUAUGUACAAGGCGGAGCGGACUGAGAGACAAAAUGGUGGCAAAUCAAAAAGCAUGACAUACGUUGCAAAUUGAUGUAAACGGAAAACAAAAAUAAGACAUAAAUACACACAUGUACUUCGUUGAGUGCUCAUGGGACUGUGCCAAACCUGCAAUAAAAACAUUAAAACUGAGUGACCCACUGGCUGCUUUUCCAUCAAUCAGCAAAUGGAAAAAACGUUGCGCGUUCAGACCACACAAAUUAACCUGACAUAAAACACAUAUUCGAUAGAAACAGUUUUGUCACUUAAACUGCUCCAGACAAGACCAAUAGCAUUCAUCAAUACAUUUGCUGACCAGGUUAGAUGUAUACAGAUGUAUACAAAUCAUGAAGACACAUCCUUCAUCCUGCCCCUAAAAUGAACACAUUGAGUGCAAUGUUUUAAAUGACGAACCUGCUGCCAGUGGGCGGUGUCUAUGAGGUAGAACACUCUACAAUAAGGGUCCGAGACGCGGUGUGGUGGGACUGAGGCUUGAUGAACACGGGGGAAGUGACACCGGAGAUGUACAUAGGUAAUAAUCACAUCUACUUGGAGGAAAGAGGGCUCUUCAGUAGCAUGUACAAAGAUAAUAGUUGAUAACACAUUUAUUGUAAGCAUGUUGAAUAUUCGUUAACCCUUGUUCAAAUAUACAAAAGAAGACAUGACUGAGGGAGCAGUUUCAUCACUAUUUUAGAUUUCUGACAAACCCUCCUCCAUAAACCUAGACAGCACCAAAAGAAAUAUGGGGAAAACAAUUCCAGGAUAAAAUGCAAAAGAAACUAGUAAGAAACAAGAUCAUUUUGGUCACAGAAGCUCUGUUGUACACAUAGAAACAUCCCAACAGUGACUAAAAGGGAGAUGCGGGGGGGGUUGGAUAUUUAAAAAUCAACCUUGUACUACAUAUGGGCAAAAGAAUAAAAACAGCAAAUCACCACCACCUUUGUAACAGUAAAAGAAAAAAAUAUGUGCAGCUCUCCGUUCGCAAGAGUUGUGUUUUCGGGACUGUUAAAACUUAAACAUCGCCGCUCUGAUAAUGUACACAAGGUGGCCCAACUGAAAACGGGUUUAUCUCCCAUUUCACCCCCAACCCAAAGCUCCUUCCCGUCUGCUAUGUACAGCCAUGCUAGCAGUGGACAUGGGGGGAGGGGGGUAAGGUGCCAAGGACUCCUCUCGUCCUCCUCGUGUAUCCAACACGCGUUCUCUGGCCUCCCUCUUGGGACAACGGAGCAGUACUGAGAAAAUGACCCUGCGGACGUGGCCGCCCGGGAGCGCCACGGCCCUGCGGCCACGCCCACUGCCCUGCGGCCACGCCCACUGCCCUGCGGCCACGCCCACUGCCCUGCGGCCACGCCCACUGCCCUGCGGCCACGGGCCUCUCUCCACGGUUAUCUCCUCAAUGCCAGCCGGGCGCUUGUUUGCGUUUCCCAGGGACAGGGCCUUGAUUCAGGGCACGCUGCGUUGCGUUUAAACAGAACCACAUCUGGGCGUCAUCGAAUAAACAGCAACAGUCGGGACGAUUGGGUCCUUGUAAUCGAUCCCUCUCCCGCCACAUCCUCACAGCCGAGAACUCGGAGAGUACAGAAGGGUUAGAAAAACAUCCCCGAAAGAAACGUCUGAGACCGAGCUCCUUGGCAGAACAGGCCCGUUCUGUCCACCAGCGCGUUGUUCUGUUAACGCGAGGGUCGGUGACCCCACAGCGGUGUGCCUACGCGCCCCCCUGAGGUCUUACCUUUGAAAUUCAAGUACUAACAGCAAGAUUGCCAACUUGUUUGUGCGUGUGUGUGUGUGAGUGUGUGAGAGAGGAGAGAGGACAGACGCCGGUACCCCCUAGAUGACGAUGUGCUUGUGGCCGUCCACGUUGAUGACGCGCGAGUGGCAGUUGGGUUCGCACGAGUGGUUGAUGAAGCGCGCCGCGUUGCCGUGCAUGGUGGCGUCCACCACGUCGAAGUCGUCGAUGCGGAACAUGUAGCAGCCGAUGCCCUGCGGGAGGCGAGACACAUGGGGCGUUACGAGGGCCGUUGAGAACGGGACUUUGUCGGGCCCCCCCGCCCGCACCAACCCCCGAGGGGGAAUUAGUUGUGCAGAGGCACAGGUUGGGCAAUCAAAAGCGUGUCCAUACCAAACACAGCCCGUUUGUGACGCGACAGACAGACAGACAGACAGACACAGACAAAGAGAGGGCAGGAGAGAUCAACUAUCCAUAACACAAUCCCACAGUUUACA
ensembl:lncRNA